GUGCUGCAGGGGGCUUCUGUGCUUCCAGGGCAGGUGACUGAGGCUAGCGAGAGAGAAGGUCUUCUCUGCUCUAUCCGGAGGCCAUUUGUCGUCAGUUUUAUGCCCUCACCUGCUUUGUUUUGUCUUUUUUCCCAAUUCCUAGCCUUUUUUUUUUUUUUUUAACUUUUCCUGGUCCCCACAAGAUCCAGGGCAUUUGAGAGGGGAGGGCCCUGGUGUACACAGCCACUUGCUCCCGGUGUUUGCCAGGCCAGGGCAGACAAGAAACUCCUCAGACUCAUUACCUAUUUCUUUUCUUCUUCUUUCGUAGCUGUGUUUCAGAAUGGACCCAUUUGUGGCUCUUUUUCACCUCCAAAUCAGGUCCACGGUAUCUUGUAAAAUGAGGGAAGUGCCACCUCCUAGUACUUUUGAUGAUAUCAGAUAUUUUUAAAAAGCUGUUUUAGGGUGGUUUUUUUUUUUCCUUGUCUUGCCACCUGAAUUGACUCUCCGAUUUCCAGGUUCAGAAUCCAAUAUUAGGAAGACAGUCUUUUUUAAUCCUAAAGAUUAGACCUGCCUUACAAAGCACCCCCCUCCCCACCCCAUUCCUCUGUUUCCUCUACUCACUCGGGUGAGCACCUACACUCCCAGCAUCACCACUGGCAGCACUAGGGGGAGGCUGCUGGAGUCCUGGGUGUCUCCCCAAGCCACUGCUGACUGCAUCAGGCAGGUGGGGGUUGGAGGAACACAGGCAGGAGGAAUUCAACCCCGCCCGUACUGACAAGAACCCCAGCCUGGGAAGAAGGAAGGACAGACUGACUGUGGGUCGGAGGCCCCGGAAUCAGGGAGCCCUUCAAAGCUUUUCAUCUGUGCUCCGUUCCUGCCUCUUAUCGAACCGCAGAUAGAAACAUGGCUGUAGCCAGCCUCCUCUGCUGUCACAGGCUCCCCCCAACUCGACCUUCCAGAAGGUUGGGCUUGCGGUAAAGUCAGGGACCUGCUGUGUGAGGCUAGAGGGUCCACUGAUGAAGGAAGGGUUUGCUCUCAUCUGCUUGAACGGUGGUGAGAUUCAGCUGGCCCCAGCAUGCUACAGAUACCUUUCACGAGCGGUCACUCCAGUCUCUAAGAUGACUGAUGUUGGCUCACACCUGGAGAUCUUAAGCCAAGUACCUGGUGUGUUGUGAAGGCUGUUGAGUGUAAGCGCUGGAGAGAGAGGGUGCAUUUUGACUGAGGCCCUUUGUGUGGCGAUGUAACCAGAGACAGGACAUGGUGGGGCUCUUCCCUAAGGUUAGAACAUCUCAUUCUGAUAGAAGGACCUGGGCUUUUACUGUUUGAAGAAUAUUACAGUUGAAUUAGGGAGGGAAAUUCCCAUUGGCCCCGAGGAUUUCUGUAUUUAAAGCAAUACCCUGUAAGAAUACGUAGGACAGGAUGACCCCUUCAGUCGCUUGAAAGGAUAGAAGGUGCUAAUUCCAAUAUGAUCUUUAUUUCCCACCCAGAUAUUCCCAAUAAGAGUUUUCUGUUGACUCCCUUAAAUUAGGCAAACUUCCUUCUCAUUGCUUCGAGCUAACACGCGGGCAGUGCUGACACCAGAGACACGGCGCUUACACGCUGCUGACCCCAGGGAUGCCUUAGGACAUGUUGACCCCGCUUCAGACUUGGCAAAGCACCUGAUAGACCCUGGAAGGGAUUCAGAGGAAUCAGGCAUAGCCCCAGCCCCCCGAGAGCGUCCACUCAACCUGUAGACUCUAUCCAAGCUGAAAUUCCUUACUUCAGCACCAAGUGCUGGGGCCAAUGGCACGUUCACCUGGGACCAUGUGAAAAAAGUCUGGAAGGAAGGCAGCGAUCUAAGGAAGCCGUGGUGGGGGAGGAGGGUGACAAUAAUUCCUGCCUGUCUAAAAACCACAGAAGACUAACCUGAUCCUCUUUUGGCCCCAUCUGCAUCAACACUAAACAACUACAAACUCCCCGAAUCUUUCACACAUGCCAAGUGAACAUUCUCGACGAUUUCUCUUUGUGACUGCAACCACCUGCAAACCAGAACGAAUCUAGAAUUUCUUCUUUUUUUCUUUUUGUUUAAUUUCUAAUCUCUUGUUGUUUAUGAGGUGUGGGGUUUAUAAGGGACUGAAUCAAAUGAAUGUAACAAAAAAGAAAAAAAAAAAACAAAAACAAA